GGGGUUGUGGCUCAGUGGUAGAGCACUCGCCUAGCAUGUGUGAGGCACUGGGUUCAAUCCUCAGCACCACA
rnacentral:tRNA from 1 species